rnacentral:rRNA from 1 species
CAGAUUCACUUCGGUGAUGACGCUGGGAACGCGAGCGGCGGAUGGGUGAGUAACACGUGGGUAACCUGCCCUAAAGUCUGGGAUACCACUUGGAAACAGGUGCUAAUACCGGAUAACAACAAUAGCUGCAUGGCUAUUGCUUAAAAGGCGGCGAAAGCUGUCGCUAAAGGAUGGACCCGCGGUGCAUUAGCUAGUUGGUAAGGUAAUGGCUUACCAAGGCGACGAUGCAUAGCCGAGUUGAGAGACUGAUCGGCCACAUUGGGACUGAGACACGGCCCAAACUCCUACGGGAGGCAGCAGUAGGGAAUCUUCCACAAUGGGCGAAAGCCUGAUGGAGCAACGCCGCGUGAGUGAAGAAGGUUUUCGGAUCGUAAAGCUCUGUUGUUGGUGAAGAAGGAUAGAGGUAGUAACUGGCCCCUAUUUGACGGUAAUCAACCAGAAAGUCACGGCUAACUACGUGCCAGCAGCCGCAGUAAUACGUAGGUGGCAAGCGUUGUCCGGAUUUAUUGGGCGUAAAGCGAGCGCAGGCGGAAAGAUAAGUCUGAUGUGAAAGCCCCCGGCUUAACCGAGGAAUUGCAUCGGAAACUGUGUUUCUUGAGUGCAGAAGAGGAGAGUGGAACUCCAUGUGUAGCGGUGGAAUGCGUAGAUAUAUGGAAGAACACCAGUGGCGAAGGCGGCUCUCUGGUCUGUAACUGACGCUGAGGCUCGAAAGCAUGGGUAGCGAACA